CGUCAAGUUCCACCAUAGCCUUCUUGAUCACUGGCUUGUACUUUCCUGAUUGCAGAAAACAAAAAAAAACAUUAGUUUUAUGAUUUAAACAAGGAAAUGACAGGUAAUGCAAUGCAUAUUAUAUGAAAAUCUGACCCAAAUUAGUUCCAAAAGUAACUUGAAGAUUUAAUCACAUAGUAGGUAUUUGAAUAAACGGUCAAAAGAAAUUUAAUGAAACAUAGCUAGCUAAUCUCCAAGUGCAAACAACGGAACUGUAGAAACC
rnacentral:lncRNA from 1 species